GUGUUCAUAUGGGAUCAGGCAAAAGCAGGUCCUGAAGGCAGGAUCCUGAAGAUCAGGCACCACCUGACAGGGAUGGAUAUAGCAUUACAGCCCCACUCAUGGGUGGCCCUGAAGGACAUUGGGGAAAGGAAUCUUCCCAGUGGGCAGAACAUCUAGCAGGACAUUGGUUGUCUAACUUAAAUGGAAGAAGAAGUCAGAAGUGCAUAUCUAUACUGAUUCAUAGUCACUGGACAAUGAUUUGGCCAGAUGGUCAGAGACAUGCUAGAAACAAGAUCAGAGAAUUAGAGACAAGGAAGUUUGCGCAAGAGAUAUAUGGCCAAACCUCUUAGAAUGCACAGCGUGAGAUAAAUUGAUAUCUUACAUGAACGUUUGCCAGAGGGAGCCCAUGGUAGAAGAGGAUCUCACUAACCAAAUGGACAACAUGACUCACUGUGUAGAUCUCAGUGAACUACAUCUGAGGAGUUUGUGUACAAUGUGGUCAUGGUGGCAGGGCUGGAGAUUAGGCAUCCAUGGAUAUUGCCACUGUGCUGAUCUGACUACCACUACCACUGCAGAGUAUCCAACUUGCUAACUACCAUUUAGCACCAUGCCCUGAAGGGACCAGCCAAUCUCCUAGUGGCUCAUUGAUUGCACUCGACUCCUUACAUCAUGGAGAGGGCAGUAAUUUAUCCUCUUUGAAGUAGACAUUCUGAAUAUAGAUUUGCCUUUCCUGUCCACCAUGCAUCUAGCAUCUCCAUCCAUGGAUAUUUUUUGUGUCUUAUUCACCAUCAUGUUAUUCCUUACAAUGUUGCAUCUGGCAGAAAUUUAUUUGACAGCAAAAAGAAUUCUCAAGCACCUGACGCAUCACCUCUGCAGUGCAUCCCUUUCCAGAAGUCCACUUUCCUGAUUCACCACCAGUUGAAGUUUUAACAAUGGAAACACCAUCUGUGCAAGGUGUCCACAUUGCUAGCUGGGCGGUGAAUGAUUCAGCUCCAAAAUCCCAUUUGAUUGCCUGCUCUUUCCAGACACAACUGCAGCAAACUGGAUUGUCUAGACACAGAUGAUGAGACAGAGUUUAGGGUGCAAGAAGCUAACUAGGGAUCAACACCUGUGUAAGGAAGCAGGCAGAAGCACAAUUGAAGUUGAGGAAGAUGAAGAGGUUGAACUGCCCUGCAGGCCAGAUAGAGCCUUGCCAAACCAGUGGGGAACUCGGAGGAAGUCCUGCCUGCCAGUUUCCCAUGUGGAGCCGAAACAGUCGUGCUUUUAUCUCUCCACCUUGCUCAGUCACCAGAUGCAGGCCACGCCCAGAAGGGCAUGUUUUUCUCUGCAGCUCAGACUGAUGUUGAGGAGCUGGGAGCUGGAAGCCACCUGCUGACUGCACUCCCUGCAGCUGGUCAGCCCAUCCUUCUCGAGGGGCAUCUGAAUGGCAUCUUCAUCAGGUCUACAAUUUUAUGUACAUGCCACAUUCUGGGCUUUCCCACUUUGAAGCAAUUAUCAGUUAUGAAUGUUAGGAACACUUUGUACAAGUU